CCAUGGCACAUGGAGUUCCCGGACAAGGGAUAAGAUCCGAGCCGCAGGUGCAGCUGUGGCAACGUCUAGUCCUUUCACCCACUGUGCCAGCUGGGGAUGGAACCUGCGUCCUGCUGCUGCGGAGAGGCUGCUGGUCCCCUUGCUCCACCGCGGGAACGCCGUGUGGCGUCCUGUUUUCAAAAGCCAUCUAUGCUGCAUCACUCCUCCUUUCCUCUCCGUGGUGAUGAGCAUUCGAUGGUGUGGCUGUGCCACGUCGUGUUCAUCCGUGUACCUCUCCAUGUGCAUUGGGGUCGUUCCCACCUUCAGGCUCUUGUGAUCUGCACAGCUCUGUACAUACGUAUACAAAUAGCUGUUUGAAUCCCUGCUUUCAAAUCCUUGCCGGAUCGCAUGGACACUCUGUCCGACUUGAAGAACUGCCCAACUGUGUCCCACAGCGGCUGCCCCAGUUUACAUCCCCACCAGCAGCAUGGGUUCCAGUUUCUCCAUUUCCACGCCGGCACUUACUUUCCGUAUUUUGUUUUGUUUUGUUUUUUGCUUCUUAGGGCUUCACUCGCUGCAUACGGAGGGUCCCAGGCUGGGGGUUUGAAUCGGAGCUGCAGCUGCCAGCCUACACCACAACCACAACAACGCCAGAUCCAAGCCGUGUCUGCAACCUACACCACAGCUCAGGGUAACACCAGAUCUUCAACGCACUGAGUGAGGCCAGGGAUCGAAGCUGCGUCCUCGUGGAUGCUACUCAGAUUCGCUGACUGCUGAGCCACGACGGGAGCUCCUCCGUGUUUUAAUUAGAGCAUCCCAGCAUCGUGGUAUUUCCUCGUGGGUCUCGUUUACAUUUCCCUGAGGACUAAUGAUAUUGAAUAUCUUCUCUGUUCACUGGCCAUUCGUAAAGCUUCUUUGGAGAAACAUCAACACAGGCUUGAGGACUCCACUGCCCAUGACUCCUUACGGGGGCAGGGGUCGUUCAGAUCUCAAUCCCACCACGACUACUGUGUCUUGCGAAAGCCUCCCUGCAGAGCCCCACCACAGACGCUGGCGCUGGAGCUUCCCGGGAAUCUGUUGCAACACAGCCUCGCCCACGCAUGUGCCACCGCUCCACCCGGGCCAGUGGCAGACAUCACCAAUCAACUGCGGCACUGGAAAGCCCGGAGAUUUAUUCCCUGGGCCCCCAGCGACGGGGCAACUGGAUCGGGUCUCAGCCCCGGAAGAGCUCACUCAGGAGAAGAGAAAGAGGAGUGAGUGGCGCUAGGUUUUCAGGUGCUGAGGCAGGUGUCCUCGCCGGGGACAAGCCCCUUCCGCAGACGAGGGUGAGGAAAGUGUGCUAAAGGUGACGAUGACAAAUACGCUAACGGUGAACUCUACACUUGAAACGAGUGAAUCGGAUGGUGUGUGAACUAUAGCGCAGCGAGGCUGUCACCAAAAAAGCAAAGCUAAGCCAUCGAGCGUGACUUAGCGACUUUCUCUGGGCCCCUGUGAUCCUGUUACAUCCAUUGACUGAAAAAAAAAAAAAAAUAGCACAUCGUAAAAGUUGAGAAUUGGGUUUUGUUUGGCAGAAUUACUGAGGUCGUAAGCCUGGAAGACAGCCUCUCAGAGAGCCCUGAGGGAAUGCUCCGAAGAGGCAAGGGAGAAGCCAGGCUAUAUAGGCGUUUCUGCGACAAAAACAAGAGCGUCUAAACAUCAAAAGAUGACGGUUAUUUAGACACCGUGGGGGGAGGGAGAGACGAAUGAAGAGUUCAGGAAUAACACACACUACCGAAGACAAUAAUUAACCUACUGUUGAUUCCACUCAAUGGUUUGUAAUGACCUACAUGGGAAAAAGGAUGGGUAUAUGUGUAACUGAUUGACUCCGCUGUACCCAUGAAACUCACGCAACGCUGUCUAUCAACUACACUCUAACAGAAUUAAAUAAAUACAUAAACACACACAUGAUAAAACAUGACUUAUUUAAAGAAAGCCAGACAUCUCACAUGAGUGAUUUAUUGUUUUUCUGUGCUUGAGAAGGUGCAGGCUUCUGGGCUCAUCAGAAUCUUUCCUCUGAUGUGCACCUGAGUUAUCCAGGGCCCGUCUCCCCCUUUCUCCAUCCUGAAUGCCCUCAGGUGCAUAGUUGGGGUGGCUACGGGGGUGGAAGGCUUGAUGGCUGGGAGGUUUUGUCCACACUUCCCUAAACCCAGAUUCAACCCCCCCCCCACGCUCCUGGGGCUAAUCUCCCACGUGGUGUCUGCCUACUCCUGCUUCCGGAGUGAGCUGGCGCCCUGGACUUUGAGCCUGGACUUUCGCUAAGGCUCCGCUGGGCUCUGGCUCCUGUCUCAGCUGAAUCCAUCUGCACGGGGAGCCCGCUGGCUGCUGAGAGAAAGAGUGGAAGAUCAGCUCGUUCCAGGAGUUUCGCUGGAACUCCCUUUCCUCCCGCAGCGUCGCCAUCCUCCUUACAGGUCCAGAUGCCACGGUUAAUCUCGGCUCCUAAAACCACAGCCGCUUCCCGUGAGAAGUCCUGAGGAUGAGAGGCAAGAAUUGGACAUUUCCCUGCCCCUGGACUGUCUGCCCAAGUCCCUUGUCACGUUCACCCUGAGCGGCAGCCUGGCAAGCAAGAGACCCCAGGUGGGGACAGCUGCCUCUCUGCCCAGCCACGUAAACAAAGCCCCAGGGCCCUGAGACAUUAGGGCAUCUGAGAGAGGGCUGAAAGGCUCCUUGCUUAUCUUUGUGUUUGGUGGUUUGAGGAUUUUUUGGUGGUUUCCAGAAUAAAAACAGGUCUUCCUGUC